CCACCUUUGACAUGUACGGAAUUCGCCAGAGGUGGCUUAGUGCUCGAAAGAGAACCGUAACACAGGUGCUGCAUGGCUGUCGUCAGCUCGUGUCGUGAGAUGUUGGGUUAAGUCCCGCAACGAGCGCAACCCUUGUCAUUAGUUGCUACAUUCAGUUGGGCACUCUAAUGAGACUGCCGGUGACAAACCGGAGGAAGGUGGGGAUGACGUCAAGUCCUCAUGGCCCUUAUAGGUGGGGCUACACACGUCAUACAAUGGCUGGUACAAAGGGUUGCCAACCCGCGAGGGGGAGCUAAUCCCAUAAAACCAGUCGUAGUCCGGAUCGCAGUCUGCAACUCGACUGCGUGAAGUCGGAAUCGCUAGUAAUCGUGGAUCAGAAUGUCACGGUGAAUA
rnacentral:rRNA from 1 species